AAGUCGUAACAAGGUUUCCGUAGGUGAACCUGCGGAAGGAUCAUUAACACUUACUGUUUUUUAAUAGUUUUUACAAACUUUAACAAACAUGUAUUUCAACAAACUCGUGCUCCCUUUUUUUCCAAACCUUAAAACAUUUUUAAAUUUUAUUUUUAACAGUUUUCCAUUUUUUAGCUUUUUUUUGUUUUCGAACGAAAAAACACUAAUAACGGAAAUGUAAGUAAUAACAAUGUUAUAGUGUUGUCAUGAUAUUAUAACAGGUUAAACAAACAACUGUUAACAAUGGAUAUCUAGGCUCUC
rnacentral:misc_RNA from 1 species